AGGUGGAACGUAUUUGGUAUCCGCGUCAAUGCCAUCCAGCGGAGUUGACGGGGGCUUGCUCCUCUGAUGGUUAGGGGCGGACGGGUGAGUAACACGUAGGCAACCUGCCCUCCAGCUUGGGACAACUACCGGAAACGGUAGCUAAUACCGAAUACUUGCUUUCUUCGCCUGAAGGAAGCUGGAAAGACGGAGCAAUCUGUCACUUGAGGAUGGGCCUGCGGCGCAUUAGCUAGUUGGUGAGGUAACGGCUCACCAAGGCGACGAUGCGUAACCGACCUGAGAGGGUGAUCGGCCACACUGGGACUGACACACGGCCCACACUCCUACGGGAGGCAGCAGUAGGGAAUCUUCCGCAAUGGGCGAAAGCCUGACGGAGCAAUGCCGCGUGAGUGAUGAAGGUUUUCGGAUCGUAAAGCUCUGUUGCCAGGGAAGAACGUCCUUGAAAGUAACUGCUCAAGGAGUGACGGUACCUGAAAAAAAAGCCCCGGCUAACUACGUGCCAGCAGCCGCA
rnacentral:rRNA from 1 species